GAUGAACGCUGGCGGUAUGCCUAAUACAUGCAAGUCGAACGCAUUCUCGUUUUAGAUUGACGGUGCUUGCACCAGAUUGAAGAAACAUUUGAAUGAGUGGCGGACGGGUGAGUAACACGUGGGUAACCUGCCCAAAAGUGGGGGAUAACAUUUGGAAACAAAUGCUAAUACCGCAUAAAAGUUAGAACCGCAUGGUUCUAAUUUGAAAGAUGGUUUCGGCUAUCACUUUUGGAUGGACCCGCGGCGUAUUAGUUAGUUGGUGAGGUAAUGGCUCACCAAGACGAUGAUACGUAGCCGAACUGAGAGGUUGAUCGGCCACAAUGGGACUGAGACACGGCCCAUACUCCUACGGGAGGCAGCAGUAGGGAAUCUUCCACAAUGGGCGCAAGCCUGAUGGAGCAAUACCGCGUGAGUGAAGAAGGGUUUCGGCUCGUAAAACUCUGUUGUUGGAGAAGAACGUAUGUGAUAGUAACUGAUCAUGUAGUGACGGUAUCCAACCAGAAAGCCACGGCUAACUACGUG
rnacentral:rRNA from 1 species